rnacentral:SRP_RNA from 1 species
GCAGUAGCAGGCAAACAUGGUGGCCAGGCUGCUGUGUUGCUUGAGUUCUGGGCUGUGGUGAACUAUAUCUGUCAGGUGUUCUCAUUAAGUUCACCAUCAAUGUGGUGACCUCCCGGGAGUGGGGGACCACUAAGUUGCCUAAGGAGGAGUGAAACGACCUGGGUUAGAAACAGAACAGGUCAAAACUCCUGUAUUGGUUGGUACUGGGGUUUUGUCUGUGAAUACACAUUGCACUCCAGUCUAGGCAACAUA